UGAAGUCAUUGAUGCCAUGCUUCCAGGAAAAGCUUCUAAGCUUCAGAUAUAUAGGAACCGUACCCCAAACCGACACAGGUGGUUAGGUAGAGAAUACUAAGGCGCUUGAGAGAACUCGGGUGAAGGAACUAGGCAAAAUAGUACCGUAACUUCGGGAGAAGGUACGCUCUCUAAUGUGAAUGACUUGCUCAGUAAGCAUCGGAGAGUCGAAGUAACCAGGUGGCUGGAACUGUUUAUUAAAAACACAGCACUGUGCAAAAUCGAAAGAUGACGUAUACGGUGUGACGCCUGCCCGGUGCCGGAAGGUUAAUUGAUUGGGUUAGCUCUGCGAAGCUCAUGAUCGAAGCCCCGGUAAACGGCGGCCGUAACUAUAACGGUCCUAAGGUAGCGAAAUUCCUUGUCGGGUAAGUUCCGACCUGCACGAAUGGCGUAAUCAUGGCCACACUGUCUCCACCCGAGACUCAGUGAAAUUGAAUUUGCGGUUAAGAUGCCGUAUACCCGCGGCUAGACGGAAAGACCCCGUGAACCUUUACUAUAGCUUGACAGUGAACAUUGCUCCUACAUGUGUAGGAUAGGUGGGAGGCUUUGAAACUUUGUCGCCAGAUGAAGUGGAGCCAACCUUGAAAUACCACCCUUGUAUGCGUGAUGUUCUAACCUAGGGCCCUAAUCGGGCUUGGGGACACUGUCUGGUGGGUAGUUUGACUGGGGCGGUCUCCUCCUAAAGAGUAACGGAGGAGCACGAAGGUUGGCUAAGUACGGUCGGACAUCGUACGGUUAGUGCAAUGGCAUAAGCCAGCUUAACUGCGAGACAGACACGUCGAGCAGGUACGAAAGUAGGUCAUAGUGAUCCGGUGGUUCUGUAUGGAAGGGCCAUCGCUCAACGGAUAAAAGGUACUCCGGGGAUAACAGGCUGAUA
rnacentral:rRNA from 1 species